rnacentral:tRNA from 1 species
GUAGCUCAGUGGUAGAGCGCUUGCCUAGCAAGCACAAGGCCCUGGGUUCGGUCCCCAGC